CUCCACCCCCCAAAAUUAUACGAAUGUGCACGUGACAUCACAACGUCAACGCACACAAACGUUUUGGUGUCAGAGGUCACCCUCUGACCAAUCAGAACCUAGAGAGGGAUAUCUAAAUCCCUAAUUCACCCCAGUACCUUGCCCUGUCGUGGUUUCCUGUUCCUGGUUUCCUGAGAGUACGUUUUUCCUUGUGAUAUUGUUAUUCUGGUAUUCUGAUCUUGGCUAUUCCUGGUUAUUCCGAU